CUUUAACAAUCCGGAACAAGCUGAAAAUUUGAAAAAACAUGCUGAGCAAAAUCAGUAUGCGAGUCUCUCAAAGCAAGCAAACCUAAGUCGCUGUUAUGUCGAUAACAGCCUCUG
rnacentral:sRNA from 1 species